rnacentral:rRNA from 1 species
CUACGGGACGCUCCAGUGGGGAAUAUUGCACAAUGGGGGGAACCCUGAUGCAGCAACGCCGCGUGGAGGAUGACGCAUUUCGGUGUGUAAACUCCUUUUAUAUGUCAAGAAAAUGACGGUAGCAUAUGAAUAAGCACCGGCUAACUCCGUGCCAGCAGCCGCGGUAAUACGGAGGGUGCAAGCGUUACUCGGAAUCACUGGGCGUAAAGGACGCGUAGGAGGGUUGGAAAGUCAGGUGUGAAAUCCUACAGCUUAACUGUAGAACUGCACUUGAAACUUCUAAUCUAGAGUAUGGGAGGGGGAGAUGGAAUUAGUGGUGUAGGGGUAAAAUCCGUAGAUAUCACUAGGAAUACCUAAAGCGAAGGCGAUCUCCUGGAACAUUACUGACGCUAAGGCGUGAAAGCGUGGGGGGCAAACAGGAUUAGAUACCCUCGUAGUC